UAAAGAUUGCUUUUAUAGAUUUAAAAUUUGAUUAUGGUUUUUGAAUUGUUAAAAUAAUAUUAUUUAAGUUUAAUUUAUUUAGUGGGCAAUGUUAAUUUACCCCGGUAAUUAAUUAUUUGUAUAAUACUUGUUCCAGAAUAAUCGGCUAGGCUUGUUAAAAUUUAAACUUUAUUUUGUUUUAAUUAUAAUUUUAGUUAAUAAUUUAUUUAAUUAUAGGUUAAAUUUUAAUUAAUUGAAAGUUAAGAAUUAUAAUUUUAAGUUUUGGGAAACGAAUUAGAUUAGUACCUAAUUAGUCAAAAGUUAAAAGAGCAGAAGUAAAGUGGUAUUUAAACUGAAAGAAUAUUGGCAGAUUUUCUAAAUUAUCUUUGGAGGUUGAGUAAUAAUUGAGAACCCUCAUUAACUACUUUUUUGUUAGUCUCAUGUAUGAUCGUUUAUUUUAUGCUUAAGGUACAUAAUAAAAAAUUUUUGUUUAGUAAAAUAGAUAUAUAUUUGGUUUAUGUAAAAGUUUAAUUUGACCUACAAUAGUUUAUGUUUGUGGAUUUGCAGUUUAGUAAUUGUAAUGAAAAUGUAAAAGACAGUAAAAAAAUUUUUAUGAUUUUUUGAAGAUUAUUUAGAUGUGGUACAAAUCAUCCAUCAAUUGCCCAAAGGGGAGUAAGUUGUAGUAAAGUAGAUUUAGGGGAAUCUUAAUCUAAUAAU
rnacentral:ncRNA from 1 species